ensembl:lincRNA
AAUUCCCUUCAGCUCAACUAUGAAAUAAGUAUGAGGUGAAGAUAAAGACAUUUUUAGAUGUGUGAGUACUCAAAUGUUUGCCUCCACGUAUUCUUUCUAAGGAGAUUACUGAAGGACAUGCUUUAGUAAAAUGAGGAAGCAAAUCAUCAAUCAAUAAGAUAUGAUAUCCAAAAAGUGAGGAAUCCAAUACAAGAGAGAGGUGUGGGGAACUCCUGCCUGAUGACAAAGGCAGUUAGGGGACAGCAGGCUCAGAGUAAGCCAGCAAGCACCAGGCUGAACUGGAGAAGACAGAGGGCACCCACAAAUAAAGAUGGGCAAUUCUGAGAAAAUGUUUAUACUGCUGAAAGAAUGUUGGGAUGUAAAUGGAUAUUAGGUCCCUGGAAAACUAAGAGAGUGAGAGGAAGAGAGGGAGAGGAUUGAUUCUGUCAUCAACACCAAGGAAAAUAAAAAGGCGGCACAGGAAAGGAGAUGUAAACCUACAUUUCCAAAAGGAAAGUUAAAUUUAAAACAACAUGGCUCAGCACUAAAUCCCACUGGAAAAUUCUCAUCAUAUUUCAAGAGAGCCCUUGGACUUUUGUUAGGAUGGACUUAACUCUCAUCUUUGAAAAAAGACAGUGUUCCCAUGGUGAUGAGGAUGACAUCAUCGGGACUGGUUCCUGCCGUGAAUACAGUCCCAUUGGUCACCACGGGAAUAGAUGGGAUAAGAGAUAACAGGAUUUUCUGUACAAACACAGUCUACCACUCCCUUAAAGGACCCCAAGAAGAUAUGGAAUUGAUGCAUCAUCCCAGAAGCACUCUAAAGACUACACAGCAGGGCUUUCCAGCAGCCACAUGAACGUCCUAUAAAGCCUCUCUUCACACCUCGGUCACACAAAGGUGGGAAAGACUCAGUGCUGUCCUGAAGACUGUCCAGUUCCUGAAAUCCAUAUGUUCACUGGAUCUUUAUGUGUACAACAUUCUUCUUUAGCCCUCACUGGCGAGCAUCCUCUCAUGCCAGUGUCUCCACUCUUAACUACUCUCCCCUCCUCCCUCCUGGAAUCUUGGAGGAUUUCUGAGAGUCUACCAUCAUUGCAACACAUUUCUCCUCCGUUAUAGCAUCAACCAUGCCACACUUUCCAUCCCAACUGCUAGCAAUAGACACUUGCAUGUAAUAAAAAAAAUUAAUUGAAUUAAUUAAGAGAAAAACAGACAUAUCAAGGGGUUGCUGUGAGGGACACUAUAUUGUCUCUUUUCAUAUAUAUGUAUAUAUGUAAUGUUGCUGUGCUUUUUUAAUUUAAAUGUUAAUUUUUUAUUUAUUUUUAUUUAUUUAUUAUUAUUAUUUUUUUUUUUGAGACGGAGUCUGGCUCGUCACCCAGGCUAGAGUGAAGUGGUGCGAUCUCUGCUCACUGCAAGCUCUGCCUCCCGGGUUCACGCCAUUCUCCUGCCUCAGCCUCUCGAGUAGCUGGGACUACAGGCGCCCGCCGCCAUGCCCGGCUAAUUUCUUGCAUUUUUAGUAGAGACGGGGUUUCACCUUGUUAGCCAGAGUGGCCUCAAUCUCCUGACCUCGUGAUCCGCCCACCUCAGCCUCCCAAAGUGCUGGGAUUACAGGCGUGAGCCACCGCGCCCAGCCAAAUGUUAACUUUUUUAAUGCUGCUAUUUUGAUAUCCACACUAGAAACUAAAAAAAAAAAAAAAAAAAAAAAUAGAAUUUCAGAGACUUAAGAUUCCCAAAGCCAUAUCAUGAUUAAAUGGAAGAAAGGGAACUCAAAUCCAAGCUGACCCAGACUAG